rnacentral:rRNA from 1 species
AUUGAACGCUGGCGGCAGGCCUAACACAUGCAAGUCGAACGAGUGGCGGACGGGUGAGUAAUGUCUGGGAAACUGCCCGAUGGAGGGGGAUAACUACUGGAAACGGUAGCUAAUACCGCAUACCAUCGGAUGUGCCCAGAUGGGAUUAGCUAGUAGGUGGGGUAACGGCUCACCUAGGCGACGAUCCCUAGCUGGUCUGAGAGGAUGACCAGCCACACUGGAACUGAGACACGUUCCAGACGCCGACGGGAGGCAGCAGUGGUGAAUAUUGCCCAAUGGCGGCAAGCUCAAUGCAGCAAUGCCGCGUGUAUGAUGAAGGCCGUCGCGUAGUAAAGUAAAUUCAGCGAGGAGGCGUUACUCGCCGAAGAAGGGCCGGCUAACUUAGCGACAGCAGCCGCGGUAAUAC